CAGAGACUGCAAGCGUUAUUCGGAUUCGACUGGGCGUAAAGGGUGCGCAGGUGGUUGUGUGUGUCAGGAUGUGAAAUACCCGGGGCUUAACUCCGGAACUGCGUCUGAAACUGCACGACUAGAGCAGUUGGAGAGGGUAGUGGAAUUCACGGUGUAGCAGUGAAAUGCGUAGAUAUCGUGAGGAACACCAGAGGCGAAGGCGACUACCUGGACAAUUGCUGACACUCAGGCACGAAAGCAUGGGGAGCAAAAGGGAUUAGAUACCCCUGUAGUCCAUGCCCUAAACGGUGCACACUAGGUCUUGGACGGAUUCGACCCCUUCAGGGCCCAAGCUAACGCGUUAAGUGUGCCGCCGUGAGGACUACGGUCGCAAGAACUA
rnacentral:rRNA from 1 species